rnacentral:tmRNA from 1 species
GGGGGUGACUGGUUUCGACUUGAGUUGUCAACGUAUAGGCGGCAUGCCGGGGAUGCUUGGUCGGCCCCGUUAACAAUCCAAGCAACACAUAAACGCAAACACGUUAAUGUACAGCGAUGCUGAAUUGGCAUUUGCUUCUUCGGAAGCUCCUGCUGAAACAGCAUUACAAGUCGUUGCUUAAUUAAGCAACGCCCUCUUAAGGGAGAUGCCUGCGAUUCUUUGAGAGGACCUUAGCAGGCUGGUUUUAAGCGUUGCCUUAACGUUUAAGAUGAGAUCUUAAAGGAUGGUUCGAUCAAAUCCUGGGCGUUGGAGUUGAUCGGAUGACAUGAAUAAACGUCCUAAGCAUGUAGAAGCUUAUAUCGCGUAACCCAAGGACGGCGGUUCGAUUCCGCCCACCUCCACCA